ACUCCUACGGGAGGCAGCAGUGGGGAAUAUUGCACAAUGGGCGCAAGCCUGAUGCAGCCAUGCCGCGUGUAUGAAGAAGGCCUUCGGGUUGUAAAGUACUUUCAGCAGUGAGGAAGGUGGAUAUGUUAAUAGCAUAUUCAUUUGACGUUAGCUGCAGAAGAAGCACCGGCUAACUCCGUGCCAGCAGCCGCGGUAAUACGGAGGGUGCGAGCGUUAAUCGGAAUUACUGGGCGUAAAGCGCAUGCAGGUGGUUUGUUAAGUCAGAUGUGAAAGCCCGGGGCUCAACCUCGGAAUUGCAUUUGAAACUGGCAAACUAGAGUACUGUAGAGGGGGGUAGAAUUUCAGGUGUAGCGGUGAAAUGCGUAGAGAUCUGAAGGAAUACCGGUGGCGAAGGCGGCCCCCUGGACAGAUACUGACACUCAGAUGCGAAAGCGUGGGGAGCAAACAGGAUUAGAUACCCUGGUAGGCAGCAC
rnacentral:rRNA from 1 species